rnacentral:rRNA from 1 species
UAAGAGAUGAGGUGUAAAGGUGUCUCGCGUUCAACAGACGUACGGCCAAAUUAUUAUUGAGUGAGUGCUCAGAGAAGGUGAAAAGCCUGUGUGGUUGUGUCGGUCUGUUGAAUCGGGUCACUGACGAGUCUAGUUGUUUGAGAGUACAACUUAAAGCUGGUGGUAAAUUCCAUCAAAGGCUAAAUAUAUGAGGGGACUAAUAGCGAACAAGUACCAUGAGGGAAAGUUGAAAAGGACUCUGACGAGAGAGUUCAACAGUACGUGAAACCAUAUUGAGUAAAACAGAUAACUGUGUUGUUAUGCGGCGUGCCUAUCAACAGCGCACUUGGCGUUGCGUGUGUAUCGAGUGUUGGCUGUCUAUUCAGCUAUGCGCUCAUGCUGCGCGCAUAGUCAAAGGUUCUGUGCACUAGUGCACGUCCGAUCAUUGAGAAACUAUGCUGCUGCGACAUCGGUGUGCAUCAGUCCGCACCUAGUGCGAGGUUGCACGCUGGGUUUAGCUAGCGGCGUCGUUUAGCUGUGUGACAGCUGUGGGCUGCGUUUACUGAAUGUGCUUGCUUUGUCUGCGAAUCGGUUCAUUCCUUUUUGCGGUGAGUAUAGUGCAGUAGGUAAGCGGUCCGCCAUCAAUGGUUAACAUUAGUUAUUUGACCCGUCUUGAAACACGGACCAAGGAGUUCAAAUGGCACGCGAGUCAUUGGGUUUAAGCACCCGAAGGCGAAGUGAAAUGCAAACGUAUCGUUACUCGUCGUUGUUCGGCGAUUAAGCGAUAAGCUACUCAUGCUU